CUCAGCUUCCCCAGAGAAAAAUCCUGAGUGAAGAAAUUUUUCAGAGAAUGUGAAUGCCACAGCACCAUAUCACUUGUACUGGCAAUUCUGGAUACAAACCAAAAGUGUGUAUGGAAUAUAAACCAUCCCCAUGACAAUAUGUGGUGUCCUUCUCUGCCCUGCUAAUGCUCCAAGAAGAGGAAGAAUGUGCAAGCACACCAGGCCACACAUUUUGCAACAAUUGGCCCCAACAAGGCGCAACUUUGAGAAAUUUGUUUAAAAUGAAACAGUUGAGAGGGGUACUCAUCGUGUCUGCCUUGUUAUUC